GGGCUCUACCGUAAAGUCGCUCGCCGCCGAAUAGCGGGCCCCGCUUUCCGACAUUGCCGCAAAGCUUAUACAGUAGAGGGAAGGAGCGGCGACACCCCGGCAACCAAAGGGAGGCGGCCGGGGGGUGGGGAGCAGCGGAAGCAAGCCGCGAUCCUCCAGUGGUUGGGAACAGCUCCGUGGCUCCCCCUCGGCGAAAGGGAUUGGGCUCUUCCGAACCCAGAUACUCGAAAUGAGAAGCGGGAUUGGCCGCUCGGAGAGCUAAAACUUCAAGGGAGAGGAAUGGGAUUGGCUGUUUCUUCCUUUGAGGUGGAGCGCUUUGCCGGGACUGUUGAGUAAUGUGUUGCUUGGACGUUUGUACAGUAGUCUGUUUUCCAAGCAGAUUUUUUUUUAGAAUAAAGGUGGGGAUUUAUCUUUCCAGUGCUGGAGAAUGCAUCUUUUUGUUGCCACAAAAGCCCUUGGGACCUAUUUAUGUUGUCCAUCUGAUAGUUCCCACAGUGCCGGAAAUAUAUACUGGUUGCAAGAAAGGAAGGAAAUGCAAACUAGAGAUUCCAAGGACUAGAAAAUGAGACUGAAGCAAGAAACAAAGUGCACUAAAAGGGAGCAGGUGCCCAGGGAGUGAUUCCUAUAGCUUGGUGUCCAAGCAACUUACUUGUCAAAACUCUGACUUCACUGAAGUCUGGCUAAAAUUACUGACAUGCAGAAGCUGGCUCAUCUCACAGAAUUGGUUGCCUGCACAUUUUGCUUUUAAACUUUUCUUCCAGGAUGGCUACAUACUUACCGGUUCCUUGUUUUUAAAUGAAAGCUCAGCGUCUGGGUGUCCUUGCAGAAAAGGACCCUGGUGCAAUUACUCCAAUUGCACCAUUAUAAUUCAGCCACGGGUGCAACAUUGUCUGUAUCCCCCCCCCUUAUGUUUGUAAAGAAAGGAACUAAAAGUGUGUAUGUAUCUUAAUGAAUGAUGGAAAUUUAGGGGAGGAAUGUAGAGUUUCUCUACAUCUCUUGGUUAUGGGCAUUUUCCUUUUGGUGAUAUUCUCAUUGGCCAACAAUAUUAAAGAAAACCAAUGAAUAAAGUUACUGAGACACACAGUGCAUCUGGCAAGAUAACAGAAUAUGUUUAUUCCAUGUUUCUGCCCUCUGCAGCUGCUUUUAACUAUUGGAAUUUUGAAAUCCCCAGGUGGCAUGUUAGAAACGUAAUAGGAAAUGUCUUGGUGUAGUAGGAUUGCAGGGCAAGGCAUACAUUUUCCAUAUUGCUGUGGUCAGUAAUAACAUUGAUACAAACCAGAUGAAUUCUGACAUUGUUCAGAUUCUGAGCACGGCCUUGAAACUUGAUGUGUGCUCUUAUUGUGUAAGUGCUGUUUAGAGACUGUUUGCUGCACAGCUGCCAAAUAGUCAUAAUGGGAUAUAAUGUAAAGAAAAUGCGUAAUUGUGAGGAUUCAUGAGCACCAAAGAAUUGUAAAUGCCUAUUUUUUCCCAUCAUGCUGAAAAAGAGGGAAGGGAAUUCAGCUAUAUUUCAGUGCAAGAAUUAUGAAGCAAGGAUAUUGUAGAUUAGAACAUUCCCACAGAGCUGCAUGAGAAGAUAUAUACUGUAAUAUCUUGAGCAGAGUAACAUUGUACCUAUUUAAUCUCCGAGGCAAAAGUUCCUUUUAAAUUUCAAAAUCCUGUUGAGUGAUCUUAGCCAAAUAAACAACAUUUUGGCAGGAUAGUGGUCUCACAUAAAUAAUAUAAGGCCUUAGGAUAAAAAUAAGUCAACUAAAACCACUGAUGCUAUGAAACAGUUCAGUUUGCUUCCCACUUGCAUUAAGAUUGAGAAAGCAGUAAUUUUUCAGCCUGAUCCUACAAUGGCCCCCACUCUGACCGAGACUCAUCACUAUUAUACGUGGCACCAGCUUAGCAGCAUAACACAAAUACAGCAACAGCCACUCAUAAAUCCUCUUCAAGCAUUCACACAAGUUAAAUAAACAAGUGAGAGGAGGCAUGGGGAUAAAUGUUCUAGCUCCACCCCUGGACACCCUCCACAAGUUGGAGGGUGAACUUCUGAACUGGAGAGGCUCGUGUUCAUGGAGAAUCCUUGCACAUUGCUUCCAUGAGGAGAGGCUACCCACUUCAAAAGUUCAUACUCCAAGUCAUAGAGGGUGACGGUGGUGGAACUACUAUAGUGUGCUGAAAUCCAUUACCCCUCUUUCAUGUUUACACAGGAAAAUAACACUGGGAAGGAUAACAGGACCUUGGCUUCUGCUUGUUCUGUUACUAUGGAUGCCUUUUAGAUGUGCAGCCUAAGGCUUGCUCCUUUUGCUAAUUAGCUGCCAGAGUCAGAGUGACUGGUUGGGUUGCAAAGAGACUGCUUCAUUGAAAGAAGAUGCAGUAAUCAAUCUGUUCAGAUGAUGCCCUUGUCUGUGGCACAGUCCAUCUCGCAGUAGCCCUCCAUGGUACAGUAAAAGGCCUAUUUUGUUGUGGCACUCAGUUUGUGGAAUAAGCUCCCCUCUACAAUAAAAACCAGUUGU